UGUAAACGAAAAAACCCGCCUGAUGGCGGGUUGAUUCGUCCAGUUAGAAGUCUUCGACCUCUUCUAACUGGAGUGGUAGCUGGGUAUACGAGACCGCAGAUACCAAAACUGUUCUUCCAGUGUAGCCGAAAUUAGGCGAAAGCUUCAAGACCUCUCUGAAUAUCUCUCUCGUAUAAUUCCAGUUGCCAGUGGCUGCUGCCAGUGGCGCUUUGUCGUGUCUUUCCGGAUUGGACUCAAGUCGAUAGUUACCGGAACAGGCGCAGCAGUCGGACUGAACGGGGGGUUCGUGCAUACAGUCCAUCCUGGAGCGAACUGCCUUCGCGGAACUGAGUGUCAGGCGUGGAAUGAGAAACCGCGGCCAUAACAGCGGAAUGACACCGGUAAACCGAAAGGCGGGAAUGCGGGGGAGCACGAGGGAGCCACCAGGGGGAAACGCCUGGUAUCUUUAAGCCGCAUCGGGUUUCGCCACCACUGAUUUGAGCACCGGAAAUCAUCCGAUUUUUGUGAAGCUCAUCAGGGGGGCGGAGCCUAUGGAAAA
rnacentral:misc_RNA from 1 species